rnacentral:rRNA from 1 species
ACGCAUGUCUAGUAUAGCAUUAUACCGUGAAACUGCGAAUGGCUCAUUAAAUCAGUUAUCGUUUAUUUGAUAGUACCUUACUACUUGGAUAACCGUGGUAAUUCUAGAGCUAAUACAUGCUAAAAACCCCGACUUCGGGAGGGGUGUAUUUAUUAGAUAAAAAACCAACGCCCUUCGGGGCUCCUUGGUGAUUCAUAAUAACUUAACGGAUCGCAUGGCCUUGCGCCGGCGACGGUUCAUUCAAAUUUCUGCCCUAUCAACUUUCGAUUGUAGGGUAUUGGCCUACAAUGGUUUCAACGGGUAACGGGGAAUUAGGGUUCGAUUCCGGAGAGGGAGCCUGAGAAACGGCUACCACAUCCAAGGAAGGCAGCAGGCGCGCAAAUUACCCAAUCCCGACACGGGGAGGUAGUGACAAUAAAUACUGAUACAGGGCUCUUUUGGGUCUUGUAAUUGGAAUGAGUACAAUUUAAACCCCUUAACGAGGAACAAUUGGAGGGCAAGUCUGGUGCCAGCAGCCGCGGUAAUUCCAGCUCCAAUAGCGUAUAUUAAAGUUGUUGCAGUUAAAAAGCUCGUAGUUGAACCUUGGGCCUGGCUGGCCGGUCCGCCUCACCGCGUGCACUGGUCCGGCCGGGCCUUUCCUUCUGGAGAGCCGCAUGCCCUUCACUGGGUGUGUCGGGGAACCAGGACUUUUACUUUGAAAAAAUUAGAGUGUUCAAAGCAGGCCUUUGCUCGAAUACGUUAGCAUGGAAUAAUAGAAUAGGACGUGCGGUCCUAUUUUGUUGGUUUCUAGGACCGCCGUAAUGAUUAAUAGGGAUAGUCGGGGGCAUCAGUAUUCAAUUGUCAGAGGUGAAAUUCUUGGAUUUAUUGAAGACUAACUACUGCGAAAGCAUUUGCCAAGGAUGUUUUCAUUAAUCAGUGAACGAAAGUUAGGGGAUCGAAGACGAUCAGAUACCGUCGUAGUCUUAACCGUAAACUAUGCCGACUAGGGAUCGGGCGAUGUUAUUAUUUUGACUCGCUCGGCACCUUACGAGAAAUCAAGUUUUUGGUUCUGGGGGGAGUUAUGGUCGCAAGCUGAACUAGUUAGUUAGAAGAAAAAACACAACUGAGCGACAACGCUUUUUCAUACAUGGGCGACUGGCA